CCUACGGGCGGCAGCAGUAGGGAAUAUUGCUCAAUGGGGGAAACCCUGAAGCAGCACCGCCGCGUGGAGGAUGAAGGUUUUCGGAUUGUAAACUCCUUUUGUUAGAGAAGAUAAUGACGGUAUCUAACGAAUAAGCACCGGCGAACUCCGUGCCAGCAGCCGCGGUAAUACGGAGGGUGCAAGCGUUACUCGGAAUCACUGGGCGGAAAGAGCGCGUAGGCGGGAUAGCAAGUCAGAUGUGAAAUCCUAUGGCUUAACCAUAGAACUGCAUUUGAAACUGUUAUUCUAGAGUAUGGGAGAGGUAGGUGGAAUUCUUGGUGUAGGGGUAAAAUCCGUAGAGAUCAAGAGGAAUACUCAUUGCGAAGGCGACCUGCUAGAACAUAACUGACGCUGAUGCGCGAAAGCGUGGGGAGCAAACAGGAUUAGAUACCCCUGUAGUC
rnacentral:rRNA from 1 species